GCCGCGUGCAGUGGUGCACACCUGUAAUCCCAGUGGCUCAGGAGGCUGAGGCAGGAGGAUCAGGAGUUCAAAACUAGUCUCAGCAAUGGUGAGGCACUGAGCAACUCAGUGAGACCCUGUCUCUA
rnacentral:sRNA from 1 species